GAUGAACGCUAGCGGGAGGCCUAAUACAUGCAGGUCGAACGGUAACAGGGUAGCAAUACCGCUGACGAGUGGCGCACGGGUGAGUAACACGUACACAACCUGCCUUAUACUGGGGGAUAGCCCUGGGAAACUAGGAUUAAUACCCCAUAAUAUAUUGAAAAGGCAUCUUUUUAAUAUUAAAACUCCGGUGGUAUAAGAUGGGUGUGCGUCUGAUUAGCUAGUUGGCGAGGUAACGGCUCACCAAGGCAACGAUCAGUAACUGGUCUGAGAGGAUGAUCAGUCACACGGGCACGGAGACACGGGCCCGACUCCUACGGGAGGCAGCAGUGGGGAAUUUUGGACAAUGGGCGCAAGCCUGAUCCAGCCAUGCCGCGUGUCUGAAGAAGGCCUUCGGGUUGUAAAGGACCUUUGUCCGGGAGCAAAUGCCUGGUGUUAAUAGCAUCGGGAGCUGAGAGUACCGGAAGAAUAAGCACCGGCUAACUACGUGCCAGCCGCCGCAGUAAAAC
rnacentral:rRNA from 1 species